rnacentral:rRNA from 1 species
UACGUAGGGUGCGAGCGUUAAUCGGAAUUACUGGGCGUAAAGCGUGCGCAGGCGGUUAUUUAAGUCAGGUGUGAAAGCCCUGGGCUUAACCUAAGAAUUGCGCUUGAGACUGGAUAGCUUGGAGUGCGGCAGAGGGAGGUGGAAUUCCACGUGUAGCAGUGAAAUGCGUAGAGAUGUGGAGGAACACCGAUGGCGAAGGCAGCCUCCUGGGCCAGCACUGACGCUCAUGCACGAAAGCGUGGGGAGCAAACAGG